GACGAACGCUGGCGGCGUGCUUAACACAUGCAAGUCGAACGGAAAGGCCCUGCUUUUGUGGGGUGCUCGAGUGGCGAACGGGUGAGUAACACGUGUGUAACCUGCCCUUGACUUUGGGAUAACUUCAGGAAACUGGGGCUAAUACCGGAUAGGAGCUCCUGCUGCAUGGUGGGGGUGGGUAAGUUUCGGCGGUUGGGGAUGGACGGGCGGUUUAUCAGCUUGUUGGUGGGGUAGUGGCGUAACAAGGCAUUGACGGGUAGCCGGACUGGGAGGGUGACCGGCCACAAGGGGACUGAGGAGGGACCCAGAGUGCAACGGGGGGAAGGAGUGGAAGUCUGAGCGCGAAGGGCGGAGGCAGGAUGCAGCAACGUCGCGUGGUGGAUGACGGCUGUCGGGUAGGAACCUGCGUUCGCCUGUGACGAAGCGUGAGUGACGGUAACGGGUAAAGAAGCAACGGCUAACUACGUG
rnacentral:rRNA from 1 species